rnacentral:rRNA from 1 species
UAGGGAAUCUUCGGCAAUGGGGGGAACCCUGACCGAGCAACUCCGCGUGAGUGAAGAAGGUUUUCGGAUCGUAAAGCUCUGUUGUUAAGGAAGAACGAGUGUGAUAAUGGAAAGUUCAUACUGUGACGGUACUUAACCAGAAAGGGACGGCUAACUACGUGCCAGCUGCCGCGGUAAUACGUAGGUCCCGAGCGUUGUCCGGAUUUAUUGGGCGUAAAGCGAGCGCAGGCGGUUAGAUAAGUCUGAAGUUAAAGGCAGUGGCUCAACCAUUGUAGGCUUUGGAAACUGUUUAACUUGAGUGCAGAAGGGGAGAGUGGAAUUCCAUGUGUAGCGGUGAAAUGCGUAGAUAUAUGGAGGAACACCGGUGGCGAAAGCGGCUCUCUGGUCUGUAACUGACGCUGAGGCUCGAAAGCGUGGGGAGCGAACAGG